UACGUAGGGUGCGAGCGUUGUCCGGAAUUAUUGGGCGUAAAGGGCUCGUAGGCGGUUUGUCGCGUCGGGAGUGAAAACACCGGGCUUAACUCGGUGCUUGCUUUCGAUACGGGCAGACUAGAGGCAUGCAGGGGAGAACGGAAUUCCUGGUGUAGCGGUGAAAUGACGCAGAUAUCAGGAGGAACACCGGUGGCGAAGGCGGUUCUCUGGGCCUUACCUGACGCUGAGGAGCGAAAGCGUGGGGAGCGAACAGG
rnacentral:rRNA from 1 species